ensembl:lncRNA
UGCAUGGCAGUCUGAAGCCAUGGGAAAUCAAAGUCAGGUGAAUUUUGCUGCCCAGUUAAUAUGUUUUUAUUAGAUACAGAGUCAGUAGGCUGCAUUGUGUAACCUUGGAAGAACAAGCACUUUUGAGGCCAUCACAAGUGGCCCUACUCAACACAACACAGGUUGCCUCAAAGCACUGGGAGCUUAGGUUGCCUCAGAGAAACAUAAACAUAAAACAAUAUGGUGUGAUGAAUCAUCAAGCAGGGGGAAGUGCGAUUCAGAUUAAAUACGCUAAGAUUUAGGGCUCCUCACUGGUUUGUGACAAUGCACAUCUUCCUGAAGGUAGGUUUGUUUUUUUUUUUUUUUUUUGAGAACUGAAUAAAGAAAUGAUACAGUAAUAAAAGGGACUUAGGAAAGGCGGGGAGCCCUGAGUGGUGGGCAGGAGGGGCAAGAGGCUGAUUCAGAAGCCUCAGAGGCUUGAGUGAGGCUGGAUUCCACCCUCAGGGGAAGGCAUGGAGGCUCUCUCCUUUGACAUCAGGAAGAUGAAAGGAAGCAGACUUGUCAGUAGCCGGGAGGCCAAAACCAUGGAGACUGAUCGCAAACCUACCACACACGAUGGACUCUGCGUGUGAUAUGCUCUAACCUCCAAACGACGGGGGGAGGAGGGUGUAGUAUUUACUUUUUACAGAAGUGGUGUUGGGCCCAGGGUUGUUUGCAACCAAAGCACAUGCUCUUUGCUUAAGACACGCCUCCUCCUUGUAGGGGUGGACCAGCUGGAACCUGUGGAAAACAGGCAGGACUCCCUGGUGACUGUGAGUGGGAGGAGGGAAUGAAGACGCUAUGUAAUUGGCAUAUAGACAUCGAGUAAACUUCCUUCCUUCUGUCCACAUCCUAGAAGGCAGACUUUAACCUUUCUAGAGUCUUCAUAAAGUCAUGGCUGUCCACAAUCUCUGGGCUGCCUGCCAUGGUUCAGACACAACCAGUGUGGACCAGACCCAGGGGUGCCCUGCAGAGGAAGAAGGAAGGAUUUACUCCACACCCACUUCAAAAUGGAGGUGUUUGCUUUAAACGACCUUAACUUUAAAAAGCAAUUUGUCACUUGGAGAUGAGAGUGGAUGUUUAAAGAAGAGGUCACAAUUAUGUGGGCCAAGAAGGUGGAAGGGAUAAUCAAAUCACAUUGUGGAAAAUAGAACAGA